UGAUCAGUCAGCCACUGAUUACUCUGAGACUACAGGUUAUCCGGGAGACCGGCGUCGGCCAUCGGAGACGGAGAGCGGUGACUAUGGCAGGAAAGAGGAAGAGUUUGAUUACAAGAAGGAGGAGAAGCACCACAAACAUCUCGAGCACCUCGGAGAGCUUGGAACUGCUGGAGCUGGUGCUUUUGCUCUGGUAAAGUGAUUCUUCAUCAAGUGCUUUUUUUAUUUUGUGAUAGUGUAUAGUUUCAUUUCUCAUGCAUACAUACAAAAAAAAAGAUUUUUUUUUUUUUGACAGCAUAUAUAUGUAUAUAUACAAAGUACCACGCAUGUAACUAGGCUUUUUGCAUGGAUUGGAGGAAAAAAAAGAAAGAAUCCCAUUAUUUUCUUUAAUUUUAUCUCUAUGUUGACACUCAAUUAUUUAUUUAUUUAUUUUUUUUUGGGUGGUGGGGGGGUGUGAACCGAUAUUGUAAAUGGAUCAGCUUGAGAAGCACAAGGCAGAAAAGGACCCAGAGCAUGCACACAGGCACAAGAUAGAGGAGGAGAUAGCCGCGGCCGCAGCCGUUGGAUCGGGAGGAUUUGCGUUCCACGAGCACCAUGAGAAGAAAGAAGCCAAGGAAGAAGACGAGGAAGCUCAUGGAAAGAAGCACCACCAUCUCUUUUAAUUAAUUAUGUAUUGCGUGCGCUACCUUUUUUAGUUUAUUAUAAUUAUGUGUUAAUAUUUUCUGUAUUUUAUUUGUUUUUGUUCGUUAAUUAUCAUUGAGCACAGAGGUAGCUAUCUGCAGCCCUAAAUAAUACUCUUGUGUGUUCGCGUGUAUGGGUGAGUCUGGUGACUUUUGUAAAUAGACCGGAGUUAUCUGGUUAUGUUGUCAUCUUACUUUCAUAUUUAUGUUGAUAAUAAAACUUAGUUUUAAUUGUGUGUUUAUUAUUUAUAAGAUUUGACCUCAUGAUCUGAUGUUUUCUCCAAUCUCAGCUGUUGCUUUAGAAGUGGGGAUCAUCUAUUACUAUUGUUUUUAAAUGAACUGAGCUGACAGCCAUUGCGCUAAAGACUAAUUCAACAUCAUAAAUAAACAACUCUCUUUGCGGUGAUGUAAUUUUAUUUGCCAAUGGGAUAAAGUAAAUUUAUGUGAAAUAACAUUUAUUCUAUAUUUAUUAAAUUUUUUAAAGGAAUAUAUAAAGUUUAAAUUAACCUACAACUUUUCUUAAGAUUCAAAUCCUUGGGGGCUUUAUCAAAUAAGAUUUGAUAUUAUAUCUGAAAAUGUAAUCGUGAAACCAAUGAUUAUAAGUUGAACUUAAUGUACAACUAAUCUUGAUAUUACCAAGUUGAUUUAUGGACUUUUGCUCGAGAAUGUUGUAUGGCUCGUGACAAGUUGGACUGAAAAGCCUAUCGAGUAAUGGAAUGUUAGGUGUAUUUUCUCAAGAAGCAACACUAAAUAAUCACCCGCUGAGAGUCACAAGUUUCUUGGCACAAUGUUACUUUCAUGGAUUUAAGUCUCUAAUUAUUGUGUUUUGACUCUAAAGCCAAAUCCCUGUACCAUUGUCAUGAAGGAGGGCCAAAAUAAUCAUUUCCGAUUCGGCUCAACUUUGAUACAAUAGUUGGAGCGAUUAAUGUUACACUUUAACAUCUAACUAGGGACGUAGCUUUCUCCUUUAUUGUAAUAAACAUGAAAGUGAAAAAAAAAUGUAAUUGAAAAGAUUAAGAGGACAUGAAAGAACACGAAACAGGGCUCCAUCUACCAUGCCCCCUUGCGCACCGUACCCCCUUUACUUGUUUUGUAAUGAAGGCACCGUUGGAUGAAAAGGAGGAAGAUCGUGGAAGUGGGAAAUCGCCAGGUGGCAGUUGACAAAAACCGGGAGUAUAAGUCAAUUGACAGGAACUGUUUAUGGUGCAAUAAUUUUAUUAAAAGGAACAACAAAUAUGUUGGUACAGACAACAAUAAAGUAGUUAGCUGAAGCAAUUAUAUGUAGAAGCAAGUAGUUUGUUAGAGACAAUUUUAUGUACGUUAUAAACAAAUAUUUUGUUGGAAGAGGCAUAUAAGUGUGGUUACUGUAGCACGGAAAAUGAAAUGAGAUCAAUUGAUGUUAACUAAAUAAAAAAUGAAGCAUGAACGAAAGGAUAGGAAGUAGAUGUAGUUGAUUAGAUGUGUUGAGAAUACGCUCGGAGCCGCAAAAUCCGGCAGGGCCACAGUAAAUAGAGCAAAAAAUAAUCUAGUAUGUGGAGGGAUGAGUUGGCGAAUUAGUAGGAAGCAUCAAAAAAAUUGAGAGCCGCCGUCGGCUGACCAUUUGUGGCAUUAGUUCCACAAAUUGGCAAAUGGGGGAAGGAAGCUUGUGUAAGUGGCAUUAUUUGUAGUGUAUGGAAAUAAUGGGAAAACGAGGAAAAACAAUUACAGCACAACAAGUAAUACUGAAAUAAACAGAAAGGAGAGAAAAAAUGGAAUGAAAAUAAAGUAUAAUUGCAUAGAUAGUGAUUUAUUUUUUUUUUUAAAAGAAGGAACAAAUUGUAGAGUGGAGAGGAGGUAUAUAUAAUCAGAACAAUAGUGGAUUAGAUUUGUGUGAAAUUUGCAUGAGUCUGAAGAAGUAUAAAUUGGAUUUGAAUAGAAUUUGAACUUAUCUGUGGCUAGGAUUUGAAUAUCAAGUAAAAUACGAAAAAAAACAUGUAGCAAAUAAAGAUUGGCAUGGAAGCAGGAUAAUCAGUUCGAAAAGCAGGAGCUAUGGAAUUGACGAUAGCUUGAAAACCCAUGCAUGUCAGUGUUGUUACAUGGCAGCUAUCACCAUAGGUCCACAUCGGUGACUUGAAAUAACAAAUAUCUCGGAAAGUGGGUGAUUGCUUAAGACGUGAACGACCAAAUGCCCAUCAUCUUUAUUUAUUACCAUGAAACUGCACUUUAUAGCGCCAUAUAAAUACAUUCGUAAUGCACAAAACAAAUACAUGUCCAUUACAUUGGCAGCCCCAAAAUUAAUAAAAUAAUAAUAAUAAUGCUCAUUUCUAAUGAAAUCAAUAAAUCAGAUCUACAAUGGACUGUAACCCAUAGGCAUGAUGCAUCCGAUUCACUUCUUUCCAUUACUUGUUGCAAUUUCACUUUCUGAUUUUCUACACAGAUUCAUUGAAAAAACUUAACAACUCUGAAGUUACUAUGGAACUUUCGAUCAUACAUUUGAUUAUCAUUACAUGUACUUACAAAGAUACAAAACAGAUAAAUUAAUUAAUCCCUUGAUCAUUAUACUACAAGUGCAAAAAAUUGUGAUAUAAAUUUAGGAAAAUCAGUUGGGUGGAAAUUGAUAAUUAAGACGCGAUGUGCUUCUAAGAAGUUGAAGCUGAAUGUAUACUCAGCAUAAAGAUAAAUAAACGGGGACGCCAAACACCACUAAUACAAUAAAAUUACAGAGAAAAACAACUAUUUUUUCUCAUCAAUCCUGCUGCAUUAAAUGGGCCCAGUUGAACUGCUGGUAAUAAUCCCUAAAUCAAUUUGAAAUCGAUGCCCUCUACUCCAUAAUUUUACCCUAAAUCUCACUUCCCAGUAGGUUUACCAACAAAAAUUCACUAUUCAACUCAUGCAUUUCAAUUUCAGCUUCCACUAACCUGAUAUUUUUUAUUGCCGUGAUCUCUUCUCCCUCUGUUUCGUUUGAUGCUACCAGAAGAAAAUUAAACUCAACAUGAUCCGCUUCAUAAAUCCGAGCUAACACACCGUCGCUGCGCACUUGACUAUUCUCCACAACUCGGGUCUCUCUCCCUCACACCGGUCAAAAUCAAUUCCACUCACGAUUUACAGCACCCUAAGACCAAUGUCAAAGGUGCAACAGGUUAGAAUGGUAGCCCAACUUUAACUCACUAUUCAUUCUCAAAGCUCCAGCCAUUAGAUUUCACUCAUUAUAAUCUAACGGUUCCAGAAAACCGACAAAUACAGGGAGCACGGUGCCCAAGGGGGCACAAUUAGGGAUGGCAAUGGGGCGGGGUAGGGGUGGGGAUGCCUACCCCAUUCCCCACCCCAUUAAAAAUUUUUGCCUCCAUUCCCCACCCCAUUCCCCAAUAAAUUUAGUGGGUUGGGGAUGGGGAAUCCCCACGUGGGGAAUGAUUCCCCCAUCCCCACCCCAUUCCCCAUUUACAUAUUUUAUAGUAGAUAUAAAAAUAUGAUUUCAGUAAAUUAAAAAUUAGAGACUUAAGAUAAAAUCAUCACAAUAUUAUAAAGUAUUUAAUUUUAAAAAAAAUCUCUAAAAAUUUGAAACAAUAUCUUAAAAUGAUAUUAAAAGUGAAAAAUAUUUAAAGAAAGCAGCACCUUAAAAGAGAAAAGAAAAUAUAUUAAUGUUUUAAAAUUGAAAAAUAUUGUAGAAUUUUCUUUUAUUCAUAUUCUAUUUAUAUUACAUAAAAAUUACAAAUAAAAUUAUUAAUUGACAUUAUAGUUGAUAAAAUACAAAUUAUUAAAUAAGAAUUAAAAACAUAUUUAUAUAUAAUGGGGAUUGGGGUGGGGGUGGGGUGGGGAGUGCAAUACCAAACCCCACCCCGUUAACAAUUUGGGGAUUACUUUUCCCCCACUCCCCACCCCAUUCCCCAAAAAUUAUUAAAAAAUUUCCCCAUUUGGGGUGGGGCUCCAUGGGGCCCCAAACCCGUGGAGAAUUUUGCCAUCCCUAGGCACAAUAGCUGGACCCACGAAACAGGCGGAUAAUUAGGGAAGUGUUGGUCAUGAUUGUCAUCUUUAAUUUGCAGACAAAGAGCAUUAAUUUUUUUUUUUUGGGUUUUAUACUUUUAUCUCACCACUUGAGAGUGGUACAUUUAACAAAAACCCAAAUUCACUAGCAUCUAUGUAAUGUUAUUAUUAUUCUCGCUAAAAAUAUGCUUAAACAAAAAGGAAAUAUCGACAAUUCUAAAUAGAUAAAAAAUUAUUUACACAGGCGUUAAAAAAACCUUUAUGGAUUAAUUUUUUAAUAAUAAAUAAUAAUCUUCAUUAUUAUUUAGUCUAAUGACAGCUGAUGGAUUCUUUUUUCUAUUUAUAUAAUCAGCUUAAUUAGUUCGAGCCUAAAAUUUUUUAUUUCAAGAAAUUUUAUCACCUCAGAUGAAACCUACAUUGAACAAUUGUUUAUAUUACAACAGUAAAUUAUAACCACCGAAACAUCAACUGCCAUUGGAUUGGGACCCAUUUAACCACCGGCCACAAAACAGUUUGGACGAAACUGAAUCCUGAAAAACUUAUGCACCUCCCUUUUCACUUGUUUUUUUAAAAAAAAUUAAAGAAAAAUUACGUGUCAAAAAGAAAAAAAAAUUACACUGACGAAUCCCUUACUGUCAUGCCAAAUUAUCACACUUAAAAUAAAGAAUUUAAGCAAAAGUCUUAAACCAUUAUAAAUGUGAACGUAUGGCUGAUUUAUGAUAUGAUGGGUCCAUCUAUUAAAUAUGUUGUUUUCUUUAGUGUGGAUGUUUUUAUUUUAUUUUAUAAAAGUAUGAAUUUAAUAUUUUAUAAUAUUAUAAAAUAUUUUAUAAAGUGCAAAGUUCAACACUUGAGAAAAAUUUCUUAAGGUUAAAGUUUAUCAUUACAAAGAGUGAAAAAAAAAAAAGAAGAGGAGGAAAAUAUCCAAUUGUAACUACAACCGUCGUGUUUUUACAUUGUAUUUCUUACAAUUUUCCAUUAAAUAUUUCUCAAAUUCUUUAGAGAAUUAAAAUAAAUUUGUUAUAAAAUUAAAUUCUCUCAUGAUCUAAAUUUGUCUGGAGUAAAAUUUAGUUGGAGAUUAGUGGUUAAUUAAAAAAAUAGUUAAAUCAAAAUCAUACAUAGCAUUAAAAAAAAUAUAAAAUACAAGAUAUUUAAAAAUUCGAGAGAGUUCAUGUUAAGAAAGGGUUUUAAUUCAAUAAUGCAUAUGAUAUGCAAUGCAAAGUUUGGUGGGUCUAUUAAAACUAUAAUUAAUUUUAUCCAUUAAACUGCUAUUUCCUCUUUUAUGGAUAAUUCUUUUGAGCCACUGUUGAAGUAUUUGCAAUUUGUAACUAAAUUGUCUGAGCAUGAAGUCUCGUUGGUAAAACCAAUCAUGUCGACAUGUAACGAAAAUAAAUCAAAAUCCGGAAACAAUAUUUAUGUAACAAUGAACCAACAAUAGACCAAUCACAUUAUUAUUAUUAUUAUUAUUAUUAUUUGAGUACAUAAAUUGAUUUUCUUAGAGUAAAAAAGAAAAGAUUUUUUUCUCCGUGAAUUUGACUUUUUCUUGUGGUACCGAACCAACCAUAGAGUUAUUACCUCUAAAAUUUUCUGAAGGUUAAGAAUUUUUUUUUAAACAAUUAAAAUCAUCCCCAGAAAGAGACUCGAGUACACGUGUCAAAAAAUUGAAGUUUCUAACGGAGUUAAGAAAUAAGAAUAUGUUAAAAUAAGCAAAUUAAUGCAUACAUGUCAAAAAAUCUUCCAAAUAUUAAUUAAGUAAAUUCAGAUUAGUACAAUUUUAUUGAUUAUUUGAUUGUCACCCAGAAAAUCUAAAAAGAAAUUGUUAGCGACCCUUAACAUUUGAGUCACGAAAAGCUUAUAAAUAGACCCACAUCUCCCAUGCUACGAUCAUCAGCAACACCAAAAACACUUUCUUGAAGUAGUGUCUAUAAAUUUCUCUUCGGCUAUCACUUUUUACUCUAUUAAUUAAUAAUGUCUGAGGAAAAGCACCACCACCACGGCCUCUUCCACCACCACAAGGAGCAUGAGAAGCCUGAGGGUGCCACCGGUUACUCCGACUCGACCACCGGAUACUCUGAUCAGUCAGCCACUGCUUACUCUGAGACUACAGGUUAUCCGGGAGACCGGCGUCGGCCAUCGGAGACGGAGAGCGGUGACUAUGGCAGGAAAGAGGAGGAGGUUGAUUACAAGAAGGAGGAGAAGCACCACAAGCAUCUCGAGCACCUCGGAGAGCUUGGAACUGCUGGAGCUGGUGCUUUUGCUCUGGUAAAGUGAUUCUUCAUCAAGUGCUUUUUUUAUUUUGUGAUAGUGUAUAGUUUCAUUUCUCAUGCAUACAUACAAAAAAAAAGAUUUUUUUUUUUUGACAGCAUAUAUAUGUAUAUAUACAAAGUACCAAGCAUGUAACUAGGCUUUUUGCAUGGAUUGGAGGAAAAAAAAGAAAGAAUCCCAUUAUUUUCUUUAAUUUUAUCUCUAUGUUGACACUCAAUUAUUUAUUUAUUUAUUUAUUUUUGGGGUGUGGGGGGGGGGGGGGGGGGGUGUGAUACGAUACUGUAAAUGGAUCAGCUUGAGAAGCACAAGGCAGAAAAGGACCCAGAGCAUGCACACAGGCACAAGAUAGAGGAGGAGAUAGCGGCGGCCGCAGCCGUUGGAUUGGGAGGAUUUGCGUUCCACGAGCACCAUGAGAAGAAAGAAGCCAAGGAAGAAGACGAGGAAGCUCAUGGAAAGAAGCACCACCAUCUCUUUUAAUUAAUUAUGUAUUGCGUGCGCUACCUUUUUUAGUUUAUUAUAAUUAUGUGUUAAUAUUUUCUGUAUUUUAUUUGUUUUGUACGUUAGCCCUCAUUGAGCACAGAGGUAGCUGCAGCCCUAAAUAAUACCCUUGUGUGUUUGUGUGUAUGGGUGGGUCUGGUGACUUUUGUAAACAGACCGGAGUUAGCUGGUUAUGUUGUCAUCUUCCAUUUAUAUAUAUGUUGAUAAUAAAAAUUAGUUUUAAUUGUGUGUUUAUUAUUUAUAAAAUUUGACCUCAUGAUCUGAUGUUUUCUACAA
rnacentral:lncRNA from 1 species